UGGGGAAUUUUGGACAAUGGGGGAAACCCUGAUCCAGCAAUGCCGCGUGUGUGAAGAAGGCCUUCGGGUUGUAAAGCACUUUUGUCCGGAAAGAAAGCAUCCUAGCUAAUAUCUGGGGUGGAUGACGGUACCGGAAGAAUAAGCACCGGCUAACUACGUGCCAGCAGCCGCGGUAAUACGUAGGGUGCGAGCGUUAAUCGGAAUUACUGGGCGUAAAGCGUGCGCAGGCGGUUCGUUAAGACAGAUGUGAAAUCCCCGGGCUUAACCUGGGAACUGCAUUUGUGACUGGCGAGCUAGAGUAUGGCAGAGGGAGGUAGAAUUCCACGUGUAGCAGUGAAAUGCGUAGAGAUGUGGAGGAAUACCGAUGGCGAAGGCAGCCUCCUGGGCCAAUACUGACGCUCAUGCACGAAAGCGUGGGGAGCAAACAGGAUUAGAUACCCCCGUAGUCC
rnacentral:rRNA from 1 species